AGACCCGAAACCCGGUGAUCUAGCCAUGGGCAGGUUGAAGGUUGGGUAACACUAACUGGAGGACCGAACCGACUAAUGUUGAAAAAUUAGCGGAUGACCUGUGGCUGGGGGUGAAAGGCCAAUCAAACCGGGAGAUAGCUGGUUCUCCCCGAAAGCUAUUUAGGUAGCGCCUCGUGAAUUCAUCUCCGGGGGUAGAGCACUGUUUCGGCUAGGGGGCCAUCCCGGCUUACCAACCCGAUGCAAACUGCGAAUACCGGAGAAUGUUAUCACGGGAGACACACGGCGGGUGCUAACGUCCGUCGUGAAGAGGGAAACAACCCAGACCGCCAGCUAAGGUCCCAAAGUCAUGGUUAAGUGGGAAACGAUGUGGGAAGGCCCAGACAGCCAGGAUGUUGGCUUAGAAGCAGCCAUCAUUUAAAGAAAGCGUAAUAGCUCACUGGUCGAGUCGGCCUGCGCGGAAGAUGUAACGGGGCUAAACCAUGCACCGAAGCUGCGGCAGCGAACGUAUCACUUAAAGCGAUUCAGCGGGUUACGAUUGACGGAGCGAAGCGACGUCAAAGCGUAUACAAAGUCGAGUCGGUUUAAGGAUACGUUCGUUGGGUAGGGGAGCGUUCUGUAAGCCUGUGAAGGUGGCCUGUGAGGGUUGCUGGAGGUAUCAGAAGUGCGAAUGCUGACAUAAGUAACGAUAAAGCGGGUGAAAAGCCCGCUCGCCGGAAGACCAAGGGUUCCUGUCCAACGUUAAUCGGGGCAGGGUGAGUCGACCCCUAAGGCGAGGCCGAAAGGCGUAGUCGAUGGGAAACAGGUUAAUAUUCCUGUACUUGGUG
rnacentral:rRNA from 1 species